GCGCUCGUAGCUCAGCGGAUAGAGCAUCAGCUUGCGGAGCUGGGGGUCGCAGGUUCGAGUCCUGCCGAGCGCA
rnacentral:tRNA from 1 species